rnacentral:rRNA from 1 species
UUAAGCGACUAAGCGUACACGGUGGAUGCCCUGGCAGUCAGAGGCGAUGAAGGACGUGCUAAUCUGCGAUAAGCGUCGGUAAGGUGAUAUGAACCGUUAUAACCGGCGAUUUCCGAAUGGGGAAACCCAGUGUGUUUCGACACACUAUCAUUAACUGAAUCCAUAGGUUAAUGAGGCGAACCGGGGGAACUGAAACAUCUAAGUACCCCGAGGAAAAGAAAUCAACCGAGAUUCCCCCAGUAGCGGCGAGCGAACGGGGAGCAGCCCAGAGCCUGAAUCAGUGUGUGUGUUAGUGGAAGCGUCUGGAAAGGCGCGCGAUACAGGGUGACAGCCCCGUACACAAAAAUGCACAUGCUGUGAGCUCGAUGAGUAGGGCGGGACACGUGGUAUCCUGUCUGAAUAUGGGGGGACCAUCCUCCAAGGCUAAAUACUCCUGACUGACCGAUAGUGAACCAGUACCGUGAGGGAAAGGCGAAAAGAACCCCGGCGAGGGGAGUGAAAAAGAACCUGAAACCGUGUACGUACAAGCAGUGGGAGCACGCUUAGGCGUGUGACUGCGUACCUUUUGUAUAAUGGGUCAGCGACUUAUAUUCUGUAGCAAGGUUAACCGAAUAGGGGAGCCGAAGGGAAACCGAGUCUUAACUGGGCGUUAAGUUGCAGGGUAUAGACCCGAAACCCGGUGAUCUAGCCAUGGGCAGGUUGAAGGUUGGGUAACACUAACUGGAGGACCGAACCGACUAAUGUUGAAAAAUUAGCGGAUGACUUGUGGCUGGGGGUGAAAGGCCAAUCAAACCGGGAGAUAGCUGGUUCUCCCCGAAAGCUAUUUAGGUAGCGCCUCGUGAAUUCAUCUCCGGGGGUAGAGCACUGUUUCGGCAAGGGGGUCAUCCCGACUUACCAACCCGAUGCAAACUGCGAAUACCGGAGAAUGUUAUCACGGGAGACACACGGCGGGUGCUAACGUCCGUCGUGAAGAGGGAAACAACCCAGACCGCCAGCUAAGGUCCCAAAGUCAUGGUUAAGUGGGAAACGAUGUGGGAAGGCCCAGACAGCCAGGAUGUUGGCUUAGAAGCAGCCAUCAUUUAAAGAAAGCGUAAUAGCUCACUGGUCGAGUCGGCCUGCGCGGAAGAUGUAACGGGGCUAAACCAUGCACCGAAGCUGCGGCAGCGACGCUGAUGCGUUGUUGGGUAGGGGAGCGUUCUGUAAGCCUGCGAAGGUGUGCUGUGAGGCAUGCUGGAGGUAUCAGAAGUGCGAAUGCUGACAUAAGUAACGAUAAAGCGGGUGAAAAGCCCGCUCGCCGGAAGACCAAGGGUUCCUGUCCAACGUUAAUCGGGGCAGGGUGAGUCGACCCCUAAGGCGAGGCCGAAAGGCGUAGUCGAUGGGAAACAGGUUAAUAUUCCUGUACUUGGUGUUACUGCGAAGGGGGGACGGAGAAGGCUAUGUUGGCCGGGCGACGGUUGUCCCGGUUUAAGCGUGUAGGCUGGUUUUCCAGGCAAAUCCGGAAAAUCAAGGCUGAGGCGUGAUGACGAGGCACUACGGUGCUGAAGCAACAAAUGCCCUGCUUCCAGGAAAAGCCUCUAAGCAUCAGGUAACAUCAAAUCGUACCCCAAACCGACACAGGUGGUCAGGUAGAGAAUACCAAGGCGCUUGAGAGAACUCGGGUGAAGGAACUAGGCAAAAUGGUGCCGUAACUUCGGGAGAAGGCACGCUGAUAUGUAGGUGAAGUCCCUCGCGGAUGGAGCUGAAAUCAGUCGAAGAUACCAGCUGGCUGCAACUGUUUAUUAAAAACACAGCACUGUGCAAACACGAAAGUGGACGUAUACGGUGUGACGCCUGCCCGGUGCCGGAAGGUUAAUUGAUGGGGUCAGCGCAAGCGAAGCUCUUGAUCGAAGCCCCGGUAAACGGCGGCCGUAACUAUAACGGUCCUAAGGUAGCGAAAUUCCUUGUCGGGUAAGUUCCGACCUGCACGAAUGGCGUAAUGAUGGCCAGGCUGUCUCCACCCGAGACUCAGUGAAAUUGAACUCGCUGUGAAGAUGCAGUGUACCCGCGGCAAGACGGAAAGACCCCGUGAACCUUUACUAUAGCUUGACACUGAACAUUGAGCCUUGAUGUGUAGGAUAGGUGGGAGGCUUUGAAGUGUGGACGCCAGUCUGCAUGGAGCCGACCUUGAAAUACCACCCUUUAAUGUUUGAUGUUCUAACGUGGACCCGUGAUCCGGGUUGCGGACAGUGUCUGGUGGGUAGUUUGACUGGGGCGGUCUCCUCCUAAAGAGUAACGGAGGAGCACGAAGGUUGGCUAAUCCUGGUCGGACAUCAGGAGGUUAGUGCAAUGGCAUAAGCCAGCUUGACUGCGAGCGUGACGGCGCGAGCAGGUGCGAAAGCAGGUCAUAGUGAUCCGGUGGUUCUGAAUGGAAGGGCCAUCGCUCAACGGAUAAAAGGUACUCCGGGGAUAACAGGCUGAUACCGCCCAAGAGUUCAUAUCGACGGCGGUGUUUGGCACCUCGAUGUCGGCUCAUCACAUCCUGGGGCUGAAGUAGGUCCCAAGGGUAUGGCUGUUCGCCAUUUAAAGUGGUACGCGAGCUGGGUUUAGAACGUCGUGAGACAGUUCGGUCCCUAUCUGCCGUGGGCGCUGGAGAACUGAGGGGGGCUGCUCCUAGUACGAGAGGACCGGAGUGGACGCAUCACUGGUGUUCGGGUUGUCAUGCCAAUGGCACUGCCCGGUAGCUAAAUGCGGAAGAGAUAAGUGCUGAAAGCAUCUAAGCACGAAACUUGCCCCGAGAUGAGUUCUCCCUGACCCUUUAAGGGUCCUGAAGGAACGUUGAAGACGACGACGUUGAUAGGCCGGGUGUGUAAGCGCAGCGAUGCGUUGAGCUAACCGGUACUAAUGAACCGUGAGGCUUAACCUU